CUAGCUUGCUGCUAGCUGAAAUUCAGUCGGUUAGUUACACAAGAUGGCGAUGUCUGUCUUACAUCAGGGGCUAUCUUAUUACAAAAUUAAACUUAGCAAAGACUUAACUUACCUUCUUUUACCAGCUGGUGUUUCUCUCCUCCCUUCCUUCUGGCCGCUUUCGCUCUCCCUGUACUCCUCGUACUUUAAUCAGCCCACCUUUUAAAUUAACCAAUCACAAUGCAGCAUGUGUAAUGGACAGCGUCCUUGUCCAAUGAAAUGUCCUAAUGCUGAGUAACAGUUCAUUGGAGAGUGCUCUUGUCCAAUGAAAUGUCCUAAUGUUGAGUGACAGUUCACAGAUAUUUUUGCGGAAAUUUGAGCAACCUCUGAGAGCAUGUCACCAUCAUUGCAGCUCCAUUUCUGACACCAGUCAAGCAUAAAUAUUGCUCUUCCAUAGAAGUUACAUGUGUGUUCAAUGGUAGUGGGGGAAAUUGAUGCUUCCUAAAUUUGAAAAUGGCACAGAGGUAUGACUCACGCUGGAGGAGAAAAGUCAAGUGCCAGCAAAGUACUUGCAAAUGAUACAGAAGAAAGGUGAGAAGAUUUUCGAUGUUUUUGCUGUUAUAUGGACAGCUGUUAUUAUGUUCGUCUCCCAGCCAAAUUUCAGCAGCUGCUUUGCUUCUGACAACAUUGAUAAAUACUUUUAUAUAACUAAGAAAUUGUUUUUUGUUUGAAAUGACAGUUUACUAAGAAUAUACUUGCCAAUUUAUUAAGUACACUUGAAUAAUAAUAAUGCAGUAUAAUUUUGUAGACUAAUUUGUGGUGCUGUUGAACUGUACUGAGUUAUAUUGAGGUCUUCCUAAUAUUUUGCACAUCCAGUUGAAAUAUGCAUUAUGGUUGAAGUAUGGUUACUGUAUUAUUUAUCUCAAUUUUUAGCUAGACACACAAGGAGUGGAGAAUGCAGGUAACAACUAUUCAAAAAUGUAACCCAUCUAACUCCAUAGAGUAAUGAAGCGUGAUCAAUUAUCUACACAAAGAAUUUUGGUUCCAUAGUAAUUGGGAAAAUGAAUAUGGUAUACUGUAAAUUAUUCCCUCAGACUGCUUCCAAUGUCAGCACUGACUAUUUUGGUUGACUGUAUAAACAAAGAAUUGGCUGGAGAGGGCUUGGAAAGCAGCACACUUAUCUGACAGCUGAAAUGUGUAGGAAGGUGCUGUAUCCACAUCCAGGUGUGUCUGCACAGCUGGCUGACAUGCUUACUGGGCUACCAUAAUGUCAUUUGCACUGUAUUCAUAUAACUGUAUAAUAAAUAUUCAGUUGUUUCAAAGAUAGCAUCUGGUCUAUUCAUAUAGUGGCAAUGUAAGAAAUACCAUGUUAUAGAGCUUUAAAUUGUGAUCAGUUGUAGUGUUAAUAGUGUUAACAAAACACUACUUACUGAUGUGAGACUUGCACUUGUACUUGAAUUGGUUUACAAAGCUUUAAAUGGCAGCUCAGGUAACUCCGACACCUUGAUGUCUAGUAAUUGGUAAUGUGUUUAGACUUACAGAAUUACUAUGGAAAUAACCACAAGGAGACUAGUGAGCCACAAACUUACCAAUGCUGCUUUUCAACAUUUUGUGUACAUGACUGACAACAAAUCUAUAAAACGUAUUACAACAUUUUUCUUCUUUUGGUUUCUAGAAUCAAAGUGGAGGCCAGAUGACUAUUGCACUGAAGGAAUACCUUGUCUUCCUGAAUAUAUUACAUUUACACCAGUUAUGAGUCAGUUCUGAGAUUUUGGCAGGUUUGCUUUGAUACAGCUAAAAUACUGUCUUCCUUGUCUAAAUGGCUGCAUUACAAGAAAGUGAUAAUUUUCUGAAACUGAAAGACACUUGGAGCUGAGUGAUAUUAAUGAUAGACUCUAACUGAUUAUCAUCCUCGUUAUUAAUAAGCUGUUUCCCCAAUGUCUAUGUCCUAUUUAAGAGCAAAUAAUAUUGUUAGAUUAUUGAUGUUGAAAUAUCCAGUGAAAAAUAUUUAUAUUUGCUUUUGUCUGCAUUAUGUAACCCCAAUUUUCAUCAUGUAAAUAUCAAAACAUAUUUAAAAUGUCUUGGAAGUUUGUUUUUGUCAUGGACAAGCAUAUAAAAUACAUUACAAUAAGGA